rnacentral:lncRNA from 10 species
UUAAAAUAGAACAACAAUGAAGUUUACUGCAUGAAUUGACUCUUUUAUGAAAGAUUUCUCUGUAGCAUGCAACGUUGUUUGAUAGCAUAUUACCCACAGAACUUCUUUCAAAAUUGGAGUCAAUCAUCUCAAACCUUGCUGCUUAGUUUAUGGAAUAUUCUAAAAUCCUUUGUUGCCAUUUCACCAGUGUUCACAGCAUCUUCAUCAGCAGAUUUCAUGUCAAGAAACUACUUUCUUUGCUCAACCAUAAGAAGCAACUCCUUAUCUAU